CGUUCGCUGACAACAGACCGACAUCCUGGUGUCAACCGGUACUGCCGCGUGGAGAAGCCAGAGAUUAAGCACUGGUUUGAUACUUGGCAUGUUGCUAAAGGUCUGAAAAAAAAGCUCCUGGCUGCUAGCCGCACACAUCAAGUUAUCACACCUUGGAUCCAAAGCAUCCUAAACCACCUCUACU
rnacentral:lncRNA from 1 species